AAUUUUACUAUGUGUGCAAAUUUAGAAGCAUAAUGUACAAAGAAUACAAGCCAUUUUAAAGGAAUAUAUAAAGAAAGUCCACAAAAUUUUAAGACGCGAUAGGGUUAAAAUAGGGAUUUCAUCCACCGAGUUUUGGGAAACCCUGUAUUUAUGUCGCGGCGUUUCAUCUGCAUCGGCGUAUAUCUUCCUCUCAAAACCCUACAACCGCAAAACAAGUGAGAAAUCAAUCGCCACUCCAUUUGAUCUAAUCCAUUUAUUGACUGAAGAAAACGGAGAGUGGGGAGCAGACACCAGUUUUGGAGGUCAUUCAAAUCAAUAAGCAUAAUCUGAACUUGGUCAUUUGUUUGGCCGAUCAUGGAGCUGUGAGGGUUUAAUCGGAGCACCAAAGUCCAUCGGGUCAAAGGUUUCUACCAUGAUAUGACGAAAGGUCAGUGAUGAUUUUGUUUGGGGCAAUAGAAGUGGUAGGUAGUGGAAAAAUCGAAGCCUCAACAGUGGCGGCUUUAGGGUUCCUUCUUGAGUGAGUCGGUGGCGGUUAGGAUUCUGGCAGAGGAAUCCUCAGAUGGUAUCUAUGGUGGUGAUUACAGGUAGUCACGUAUUUUGCUUAUAUUUGUUGUUAUUUGAUCUUUACAAGGAAUGAUGACAAGAAGGACCAACGACAGGGUGAACCGAAGCAAUCAUCGAAGAGUAUUGAGAUCUUUGAAGAUGAGGAGGAUGAUCAAUAUGUACCCAUGAUUGAGAUGGAAGACUUAUUUGAAGAACCUGUUGUUUAUAUUGACUUUUCUGACACCAAAAUCUGCUUGUUGAUGUUGAUCAUGUUGAUGAUAUCUACGCUAAUUACCGAAACAGGAGGGUUAUAGCAUGGUUUUACCAAACUAUAUGUUAACACAACAAUCUGACACGAGUGAGAAAAUGAGAGCCGUGCCUAUUGACUAACACAUUGAGGUAUUGGUGUUCUUUUGGUCCAGACUCCAGAUCAUCAUAGAAAAGGUGAAAUUAGACCAAGCAGGAAUACUCUGGUAUUAUUCGUGAGAUUUAAUUGACAAUGAUUCGUUUUUGUUGGGCAUUCAAACAGAAUGGCAGUUGUAGCAAAUGAUUCGAUUUGGAACAAAUAAUCUAAAGUUACAGGCAAUCAUGCCUCGGUUUACGCAUGUUUAAAAGCCGGAUAAACGUGCAGAGCCGAUUACAUGUACCAGAGCUGGGAAACGCGCGUCUGGCGACACGUUACUUGGCCCCGGCACGCAGUGAACUAGCCGCUCGACACGUAACUGAGUUUGUCAUUCAGGCAUAAUGCAGCGUCUGUAACGCGUUUUUCUCGAGCACGUGUAACGGAGAUAGAAAACGCGUGUUUGAUACCAUGUAACGGGAGUAAACUGUCACCGGUAAGUGCUUAACGCAGCGCUUGACGCGAAACCGGCUUUGCAUGAGUAACCAGCGCCAGUUACGAGCAUUCAGGAAGAGUUGUUGGUGGCAGAGAGAUAAUGGUUCAGUUUGCCAAAUACGGGCCAGAUGUUGAAAGAAUGUGAGUCGAGUAUUUGGUAAUUUUGCGUCUGAAUUAGCAUUUUACGCGAAUAGGAGCGUUCCCAAACGCUAAAUCAGUCGGAACUUUCCCAAAACGUGAUUUUAUAUGAUUUGUAACGAAUUUAAUGAAAA